rnacentral:rRNA from 1 species
GACGAACGCUGGCGGCAGGCCUAACACAUGCAAGUCGAACGAGUGGCGGACGGGUGAGUAAUGUCUGGGAAUCUAGCUUAUGGAGGGGGAUAACUACGGGAAACUGUAGCUAAUACCGCGUACCAUAGGAUGAGCCCAAGUGGGAUUAGGUAGUUGGUGGGGUAAAGGCUCACCAAGCCGACGAUCGCUAGCUGGUCUGAGAGGAUGACCAGCCACACUGGAACUGAGACACGGUCCAGACUCCUACGGGAGGCAGCAGUGGGGAAUAUUGCACAAUGGGGGCAAGCCUGAUGCAGCCAUGCCGCGUGAAUGAAGAAGGCCUUCGGGUUGUAAAGUUCUUUCAGUAGCGAGGCGUUACCUGCAGAAGAAGCACCGGCUAACUCCGUGCCAGCAGCCGCGGUAAUAC